rnacentral:rRNA from 1 species
CCAAUAGCGUAUAUUAAAGUUGUUGCAGUUAAAAAGCUCGUAGUUGAAUUUCGGGGUUAGUAGGUUGGUCAUGCCUCUGGUAUGUACUGGUCUCACUGAUUCCUCCUUCCUGAUGAGCCGUAAUGCCAUUAAUUUGGUGUUGCGGGGAAUUUGGACUGUUACUUUGAAAAAACUAGAGUGUUUAAAGCAAGCUAACGCUUGAAUACAUUAGCCAUGAAUAAUGAAAUAGGACGUUCGAUCCUAUUUUGUUGGUUUCUAGGAUUGACGUAAUGAUUAAUAGGGAUAGUUGGGGGCAUUAGUAUUCAAUUGUCAGAGGUGAAAUUCUUGGAUUUAUUGAAGACUAACUACUGCGAAAGCAUUUGCCAAGGAUGUUUUCAUUAAUCAAGAACGAAAGUUAGGGGAUCGAAGACGAUCAGAUACCGUCGUAGUCUUAACCAUAAACUAUGCCGACUAGGGAUCGGAUGAUGUUAAUUUUUUAAUGACUCAUUCGGCGCCUUACG